rnacentral:rRNA from 1 species
GUAGGUGGCAAGCGUUGUCCGGAAUUAUUGGGCGUAAAGCGCGCGCAGGCGGUUCUUUAAGUCUGAUGUGAAAGCCCACGGCUCAACCGUGGAGGGUCAUUGGAAACUGGAGAACUUGAGUACAGAAGAGGAAAGCGGAAUUCCACGUGUAGCAGUGAAAUGCGUAGAGAUGUGGAGGAACACCAGUGGCGAAGGCGGCUUUCUGGUCUGUAACUGACGCUGAGGCGCGAAAGCGUGGGGAGCAAACAGGAUUAGAUACCCUGGUAGUCCACGCCGUAAACGAUGAGUGCUAAGUGUUAGGGGGUUUCCGCCCCCCUUAGUGCUGCAGCUAACGCAUUAAGCACUCCGCCCUGGGAGUACGGCCGCAAGGCUG